rnacentral:rRNA from 1 species
ACGAACGCUGGCGGCAUGCCUAACACAUGCAAGUCGAACGAGACCUUCGGGUCUAGUGGCGCACGGGUGCGUAACGCGUGGGAACCUGCCCUUAGGUUCGGAAUAACUCCCCGAAAGGGGUGCUAAUACCGGAUAAUGUCUUCGGACCAAAGAUUUAUCGCCUUUGGAUGGGCCCGCGUUGGAUUAGCUAGUUGGUAGGGUAAAAGCCUACCAAGGCGACGAUCCAUAGCUGGUCUGAGAGGAUGGUCAGCCACACUGGGACUGAGACACGGCCCAGACUCCUACGGGAGGCAGCAGUGGGGAAUAUUGGACAAUGGGCGAAAGCCUGAUCCAGCAAUGCCGCGUAAGUGAUGAAGGCCUUAGAGUUGUAAAGCUCUUUUACCCGGGAUGAUAAUGACGGUACCGAGAGAAUAAGCACCGGCUAACUCCGUG